AAAUAAUGUGUAGUAUCAUUUACUACAAGAUUGCAGUAAAUGCUACUGUAGUUACAAAUGUCACAAAAAUGAUAACAGUUACUCAAUAUGCGUCAAAUUUUACUAAGUCUAUAAGUUGAGUUUACUCCAAUCUUGCGGUUAAUUCUACUGCACACUGCAGUAACAAAUACUCCACGCGGGAGUUGAGAGUACUACAAAAGGAGCUGUUCCCGCUAUUUCGCCAUUUUGGGGUUAGUCUCUUGUGUAUACUUGUUUAUUAUAGCAUCUCAUAAAUAAUAAUCUGACAAUUUAUUGAAAAUUAAAUAAUUGAUUCUAAAUAUCUAAGUGAAAUGGAAGAUUUUGUUUCAAAUAAACUAAAUGAGUGGGGUUUAAAUCACUUAAUACCAGCAUUUCAAUAGGUUAUUCACGAUCAACCAAAUAUACAAAUAAUCAGUGCAGUUACAAGUAGAAAAUUAAAUUUUAUACAACAAAAAGAGUAUUUGGCUAGACUACUAAAUACUCCAACUAAAGAUAUAAUCGAAAGCGAUAUUCGUGGAGUCGCUGCUCUUAAAUUAAACGAUAAGCAAAAAACGUUUCGAAAAAAUAUUGCUCAUAUAAUUUUAGAUAAAGUUCUGGAUGUUGAUCCAUCGUUCAAGAUACCCAGAGAGUUGUUUGCCAAAUGGGCGACUGAAUUAAGUGUUAUUAUCCCAACUGAUUUGCCUCAAGUUUAUUAUUUUGAAUCGUCAGUGAAUGAAAAGGGUCAACCUUCAUCGGCUGGUGGCGUAUUGUAUAAUACGUGGAUGAGUAAGCGCAGAAAAUUGAAAAAGGCUGGUAUGAUUGUCGAUGCAAAAUUAAAACAACCUACUGAACAAGAAAUAACUUCUGCAAGUCCCGAUGUAGAAGAAGAUUUAACUUGGCUUCGCAAUUGCACAGGACCUUUGAAAGAUGUCAUCGCAAAAUGGAAACAUACCCAUAAACAUCGAUUAAAUGACUUUAGAACGAUAUCGAUAUCGAGUUAUUUAGAAAAAUUUUUAUUCCUCCGAGGA